rnacentral:rRNA from 1 species
GACGAACGCUGGCGGCGUGCUUAACACAUGCAAGUCGAACGGAAAGGCCCCUUUGGGGGUCCUCGAGUGGCGAACGGGUGAGUAACACGUGAGUAACCUGCCCUUGACUUCGGGAUAACUUCAGGAAACUGGGGCUAAUACCGGAUAGGAAUCCUUGCUGCAUGGUGGGGGUUGGAAAGCUUCGGCGGUUUUGGAUGGACUCGCGGCUUAUGAGCUUGUUGGUGGGGUAGUGGCUUACCAAGGCUUUGACGGGUAGCCGGCCUGAGAGGGCGACCGGCCACAUUGGGACUGAGAUACGGCCCAGACUCCUACGGGAGGCAGCAGUGGGGAAUAUUGCACAAUGGGCGGAAGCCUGAUGCAGCAACGCCGCGUGCGGGAUGACGGCCUUCGGGUUGUAAACCGCUUUCAGCAGGGGCGAAGCUUGUGGUGACGGUACCUGCAGAAGAAGCACCGGCUAACUACGUG